rnacentral:rRNA from 1 species
UACGUAGGGCGCGAGCGUUGUCCGGAAUUAUUGGGCGUAAAGAGCUCGUAGGCGGCUUGUUGCGUCUGCUGUGAAAUCCCGGGGCUUAACCCCGGGCGUGCAGUGGAUACGGGCAGGCUAGAGUUCGGCAGGGGAGACUGGAAUUCCUGGUGUAGCGGUGAAAUGCGCAGAUAUCAGGAGGAACACCGGUGGCGAAGGCGGGUCUCUGGGCCGAUACUGACGCUGAGGAGCGAAAGCGUGGGGAGCGAACAGG